GCCCGUUUGGCUCAGUGGGUAGAGCAUUGGCCUGCAGACCAAAGGGUCCCAGGUUCAAUUCUGGUCAAGGGCA
rnacentral:tRNA from 1 species